CCUACGGGAGGCAGCAGUGGGGAAUAUUGCACAAUGGGCGAAAGCCUGAUGCAGCAACGCCGCGUGAGCGAUGACGGCCCUCGGGUCGUAAAGCUCUGUCCUCAAGGAAGAUAAUGACGGUACUUGAGGAGGAAGCGCCGGCUAACUACGUGCCAGCAGCCGCGGUAAUACGUAGGGGGCUAGCGUUAUUCGGAAUUACUGGGCGUAAAGGGUGCGUAGGUGGGUUCUUAAGUCAGAGGUGAAAGGCUUCGGCUCAACCGUAGUAAGCCUUUGAAACUGGGAGACUUGAGUGCCGGAGAGGAGAGUGGAAUUCCUGGUGUAGCGGUGAACUGCGUAGAUCUUAGGAGGAACCCCAGUUGCGAAGGCAGCUCUCUGUACUGUAACUGACACUGAGGCACGAAAGCGUGGGGAGCGAACAGGAUUAGAUACCCUUGUAGUC
rnacentral:rRNA from 1 species